AGAUGUGGAGGAAUACCGAUGGCGAAGGCAGCCCCCUGGGCCAAUACUGACGCUCAUGCACGAAAGCGUGGGGAGCAAACAGGAUUAGAUACCCUGGUAGUCCACGCCCUAAACGAUGUCAACUAGUUGUUGGGGAUUCAUUUCCUUAGUAACGUAGCUAACGCGUGAAGUUGACCGCCUGGGGAGUACGGUCGCAAGAUUAAAACUCAAAGGAAUUGACGGGGACCCGCACAAGCGGUGGAUGAUGUGGAUUAAUUCGAUGCAACGCGAAAAACCUUACCUACCCUUGACAUGGUCGGAAGCCCGAUGAGAGUUGGGCGUGCUCGAAAGAGAACCGGCGCACAGGUGCUGCAUGGCUGUCGUCAG
rnacentral:rRNA from 1 species